rfam:Cronobacter sakazakii ATCC BAA-894, complete genome.
GCGCUGAAAAACAUAAUCCAUAAAUGCCCGUUGUACCAGGAACCACCUCCUUCAGCCUGCGUAAUCUCCCUUACGCAGGCUUAUUU